GACGAACCGAGCGAACGUUGUUCGGAAUCACUGGGCUUAAAGGGCGCGUAGGCGGGUGCUCAAGUCCGGGGUGAAAUCCUCCAGCUCAACUGGAGAACUGCCUCGGAUACUGGGUGCCUCGAGGGUGGUAGGGGUAUGCGGAACUAUCGGUGGAGCGGUGAAAUGCGUUGAUAUCGAUAGGAACUCGGUGGCGAAGGCGGCAUACUGGACCACAUCUGACGCUGAGGCGCGAAAGCCAGGGGAGCAAACGGG
rnacentral:rRNA from 1 species